GAUGAACGCUGGCGGCGUGCUUAACACAUGCAAGUCGAACGGAGCUGCUUGGAAAGAGGAUUCGUCCAAUUGAAGAGUAUGCUUAGUGGCGGACGGGUGAGUAACGCGUGAGUAACCUGCCUUGGAGUGGGGAAUAACACAGUGAAAAUUGUGCUAAUACCGCAUAAUGUUAUCGAGCGGCAUCGCUUGAUAACCAAAGCUUUAUGUGCUGAAAGAUGGUCUCGCGUCUGAUUAGCUAGUUGGUGAGGUAACGGCUCACCAAGGCGACGAUCAGUAGCCGGUCUGAGAGGAUGAACGGCCACAUUGGGACUGAGAUACGGCCCAGACUCCUACGGGAGGCAGCAGUGGGGAAUAUUGGGCAAUGGGGGAAACCCUGACCCAGCAACGCCGCGUGAAGGAAGAAGGCCUU
rnacentral:rRNA from 1 species